rnacentral:rRNA from 1 species
UACGAAGGGGGCUAGCGUUGCUCGGAUUGACUGGGCGUAAAGGGCGCGUAGGCGGUUCGUACAGUCAGACGUGAAAUUCCUGGGCUCAACCUGGGGGCUGCGUUUGAUACGUGCGGACUUGAGUGCGGAAGAGGGUCGUGGAAUUCCCAGUGUAGAGGUGAAAUUCGUAGAUAUCGGGAAGAACACCCGUGGCGAAGGCGGCUCUCUGGGACGGUGCUGACGCUGAGACGCGAAAGCGUGGGGAGCGAACAGG